UAAUACAGAGGGUGCUAGCGUUGUUCGGAAUUACUGGGCGUAAAGGGCGCGUAGGUGGCCUAUUAAGUUAGACGUGAAAGGCCUGGGCUUAACCUAGGAACUGCGUUUAAUACUGGUAGGCUAGAAGACGGGAGAGGGAAGUGGAAUUCCUAGUGUAGAGGUGAAAUUCGUAGAUAUUAGGAGGAACACCGGAGGCGAAGGCGGCUUCCUGGACCGAUCUUGACACUGAGGCGCGAAAGCGUGGGGAGCAAACAGGAUUAGAUACCCUGGUAGUCCACGCUGUAAACGAUGAAUGCUAGACGUUGGGUGAGACUCAUUCAGUGUCGUAGUUAACGCGAUAAGCAUUCCGCCUGGGGAGUACGGUCGCAAGAUUA
rnacentral:rRNA from 1 species